GACGAACGCUGGCGGCGUGCCUAAUACAUGCAAGUAGAACGCUGAAGGAAGGAGCUUGCUCUUUCCGGAUGAGUUGCAAACGGGUGAGUAACGCGUAGGUAACCUGCCUGGUAGCGGGGGAUAACUAUUGGAAACGAUAGCUAAUACCGCAUAAAAUUGAUUAUUGCAUGAUAGUCAAUUGAAAGGUGCAACUGCACCACUACCAGAUGGACCUGCGUUGUAUUAGCUAGUUGGUGGGGUAACGGCUCACCAAGGCGACGAUACAUAGCCGACCUGAGAGGGUGAUCGGCCACACUGGGACUGAGACACGGCCCAGACUCCUACGGGAGGCAGCAGUAGGGAAUCUUCGGCAAUGGACGGAAGUCUGACCGAGCAACGCCGCGUGAGUGAAGAAGGUUUUCGGAUCGUAAAGCUCUGUUGUAAGAGAAGAACGAGUGUGAGAGUGGAAAGUUCACACUGUGACGGUAUCUUACCAGAAAGGGGCGGCUAACUACGUGCCAGCAGCCGCGGUAAUACGUAGGUCCCGAGCGUUGUCCGGAUUUAUUGGGCGUAAAGCGAGCGCAGGCGGUUAGAUAAGUCUGAAGUUAAAGGCUGUGGCUUAACCAUAGUACGCUUUGGAAACUGUUUAACUUGAGUGCAAGAGGGGAGAGUGGAAUUCCAUGUGUAGCGGUGAAAUGCGUAGAUAUAUGGAGGAACACCGGUGGCGAAAGCGGCUCUCUGGCUUGUAACUGACGCUGAGGCUCGAAAGCGUGGGGAGCAAACAGG
rnacentral:rRNA from 1 species